GGCGGUACAGGCUCAUCCAUAAUUUAUUUUGAAAUUCAAAAAAAAUGAACCUAUCACAAAGUGACAAGUGGCGAUGAGAUAAAACAAAAGAAAUAAAAAACAAGAUUCUCUCUUCUCUCAAAUAAACAAACAAGAUUGUCUCUUCUCUCUCUCUAUCAUCUUAUUGUGGAAGCAAAAGAAACUAUUUAAUUAUGUUACAUUUUCUUUAACACUAAUAAC
rnacentral:lncRNA from 1 species